CGGGUGAGUAACGCGUGGGUAACCUGCCUCAUACAGGGGAUAACAGUUAGAAAUGACUGCUAAUACCGCAUAAGACCACAGUACUGCAUGGUACAGUGGUAAAAACUCCGGUGGUAUGAGAUGGACCCGCGUCUGAUUAGGUAGUUGGUGAGGUAACGGCCCACCAAGCCGACGAUCAGUAGCCGACCUGAGAGGGUGACCGGCCACAUUGGGACUGAGACACGGCCCAG
rnacentral:rRNA from 1 species